UAUGAUGUUAUAAUGUGGCCCAUCGCUCCAAUGUCCACAUGCAACUGCCAGCUGAGCUGUGCUGUUUGCUCGCUGCCAUUCACAGAGCUUGGCUAUCUCCUACAUGCAGCAGUGCAGCACAGGCUUGCAGGGCAUCCCUCUGCUUUUCCACAUCAAAUGAGAAGGGUGCAUGGAUACAAAACCCCAUCAGUUGGGAGUAAAACUGCAUGGCAAGAGAAGGGGGUAACCCCAACAGUGAGCCCCAGGGCUCUGCCUGCUGUCAGCAUCGCUUCCCAGGAGAAUGAGGACUGCAUGCAGCUGUGCCACAUCUGGAUUCACAGACCUGGCUGGUGGCAAGCAAGUGCCCAAGGUCUGGAGGAUCACAGCAGUGCAAGGCUCACAUCCAGCCCUUCUGUGCAGGACAGAGCAGCCUGGAGCCCAUACAACAUCAGUCUCACACACCGACCAGCUCCUCCACAGCAGCCAAAGGAAAUUGGUCUGAAGAGCGUUAAUCAAGCUAUGAAAAUCAUUGGCAGCUCGCAUCUUGAUGAGGAGAACCCAGCUUGUGUUCAGAGGCACCUGGGGAGGAGCUGUUCUCCCACCACCAGAGCUCACCGCAUGCACAUGGGGAUAAAUGAAGGCUUUGCUGCUCUCCCAGCCUGUAAAUGAGCCCUGCAUAGAAUCUCAGAAUCAUUCAGACCCACCCUACCAGGACGCGAUGUGUGCUGACCCUACAGAAUCACUGCAGCGAUCCAGGAACCAAAGCGACUUUCUGUAGCAGUUCCUUCCAUGUUAUUUUAGCAGCUGCUGUCUUACAGACUGCUGGAGUAAGAGAUUAAUGCUUUAAUUAUACCAUCUGAAAGCCGGGAGGCUGAGCGUUCCAAUGGUAUACAGCACUGACUCCUGGCACCGGCAGAUCUGGAGGGAGUACGCACUAAAAUCGAGCUGGAGUCCAAGUGAGGAAUAAAAGUGGAAAACGUAGUAAGACAGUAAUCAGAAUAAUGUGAUUUUAAUGCUCAAUAUCUCACAACCAGCUGGGGCUGGAAAUUAAAGCUUCGUGCUCGUUGCAAGUGGGGGAUCCUGUCUUGCAAAGACUUUCCUACUCUUAUCGUGGCUUUCCCAAGGUUGGGGUUGACAAAGCCGGCCCCGCUCCUGUCAGCCUGCACACGAGGAGGCAAAUGUCUCUCUCAUCUGCUCUGCACUUGGCUUUUCUCCUCCGUUUUCAUAUCAGAGGGGUUGGAGGCUAUAGCAGGACUGCCUCUCCUGCUUCUAUUUUCUCGCCGCGCUGUGAUCUCGACUGGAACGCGGUGUGCGAGCGACUAAUUCCUUCCCCUCAGCUGUGGGGUCCGUCUGUAGCACGUGGGGCUUCUGUGCUCUGCCACUUCCCUUCCCAACGCACAGCUGAGCAGGAGAAUGGUGCAAAUCAACCUUUUCAGAGCCGCAUUCAUCUUUCCUUGGCGCUUUUCAAUCGCGGAGCUUUGCAGCCGGCACAGAGCUGAGGCUGCCCUUGCUUUGCAAAGGAUGCUCACGGGCUGCAUCCCCAAAGCUGUGGGCAGGGAAAAGCUGAGCAUGGAAACAUCCGCGCCCUGCACAGCUGAAACCGGAGCAAAUCCUGCCCUCGUGGCCAAACCAGCUCAGACUUCUCAGAUUUCCAAGGUUUUCUGCACUGAAAGCUGCUCCUAUGCCCCAAGAGCAGGCCUGCUGGGUCUGCCUGCCUGUUUGUUCUGAAAGAGUUGCAUCGGGAAACACUACAGAAUCAAAACAUCAGCUCUGCACAGGUCAGGAUUCAGUUUCUGCAAUGCAACAUCAGGCGUGCAGCAGGAGCACAGCCCACAGAUCCUCCAGAACACAGCCUUGGGCACAGCAAACUGGCACUAAUAACGAUCAAAAAGAAAACUUUGGGCUCUC